UACGGAGGAUGCAAGCGUUAUCCGGAAUGAUUGGGCGUAAAGGGUCCGCAGGUGGCAAUGUGUGUCUGCUGUCAAAGAAUGAGGCUUAACCUCAUCAAGGCAGUGGAAACUACAUAGCUAGAGUACGGUCGGGGUAGAAGGAAUUCCUGGUGUAGCGGUGAAAUGCGCAGAUAUUAGGAAGAACACCGGUGGCGAAGGCGGCUCUCUGGAACGGUACUGACGCUGAGACGCGAAAGCGUGGGGAGCGAACAGG
rnacentral:rRNA from 1 species